GGUUGCGAUCAUACCAGCACUAAUGCACCGGAUCCCAUCAGAACUCCGCAGUUAAGCAUGCUUGGGCGAGAGUAGUACUAGGAUGGGUGACCCCAUGGGAAGUCCUCGUGUUGCAACCC
rnacentral:rRNA from 1 species